rnacentral:rRNA from 1 species
GACGAACGCUGGCGGCGUGCCUAAUACAUGCAAGUCGAACGAACCGCGACUAGGUGCUUGCACUUGGUCAAGGUGAGUGGCGAACGGGUGAGUAACACGUGGGUAACCUACCUCAUAGUGGGGGAUAACAGUCGGAAACGACUGCUAAUACCGCAUAGGACAUAGGAUCACAUGAUCCAGUGAGGAAAGGUGGCGCAAGCUAUCCCUAAGAGAUGGACCCGCGGUGCAUUAGCUAGUUGGUAGGGUAAAGGCCUACCAAGGCGAUGAUGCAUAGCCGACCUGAGAGGGUGAUCGGCCGCAUUGGGACUGAGACACGGCCCAAACUCCUACGGGAGGCAGCAGUGGGGAAUCUUCCGCAAUGGACGCAAGUCUGACGGAGCAACGCCGCGUGAGUGAAGAAGGUCUUCGGAUCGUAAAGCUCUGUUGUUAGAGAAGAACAGCGCAUAGAGUAACUGUUAUGCGUGUGACGGUAUCUAACCAGAAAGCCACGGCUAACUACGUG